rnacentral:tRNA from 1 species
AUUUAUGUAGUUUAAAAUAAAACAUUACAUUUUCACUGUAAAAAUAUUUAUAAUAAUCAUAAAUU